ACUCCUACGGGAGGCAGCAGUGGGGAAUAUUGCACAAUGGGCGCAAGCCUGAUGCAGCGACGCCGCGUGGGGGAUGACGGCCUUCGGGUUGUAAACUCCUUUCGCUAGGGACGAAGCUUUUUGUGACGGUACCUAGAUAA
rnacentral:rRNA from 1 species